AUGGUGAGCACCCUGGACACACUGUCCCUCAACAUCCAGCAGUGCGUCGUCGACUGCUUCAACGACUUCACCAUGCACGCCUCCUGCUCCAAGCUAGAUCAUCUGUUAAGUCACCAAUUCCAGCUAAUUGAUUCGAGUUUUAUAUACAGAUGCAGAGGGAGAUGUGCUGCUGGAUCUUAUAAGGAGGUCACUCUGACAAGACUGGCUAGCUGUGAUUCUCGUGGGAAUAAAGAGGAUGGGACCUGUGAUUGUCGUGGAUCUGGAGGUGACACUGAUCAGGAAGGGAUUGGGAGGGGAUAA
rnacentral:rRNA from 1 species